rnacentral:rRNA from 1 species
GAUGAACGCUGGCGGCGUGCCUAAUACAUGCAAGUCGAGCGAUCAGACGAGGAGCUUGCUCCUCUGAGGUUAGCGGCGGACGGGUGAGUAACACGUGGAUAACCUACCUAUAAGACUGGGAUAACUUCGGGAAACCGGUGCUAAUACCGGAUAAUAUCUUGAACCGUAUGGUUCAAUAGUGAAAGACGCUUUUGCUGCACCUUAUAGAUGUCUCCGCUUCGCUUUAGCUAGUUGGUAAGGUAACGCCCAACCAAGGAAACGUUGAGUAGCCGACCUGAGAGGGUGAUCGGCCACACUGGAACUGGGACACGGUCCAGACUCCUACGGGAGGAAGAAGUGGGGAAUCUUCGGCAAUGGGCGAAAGCCGGACGGAGCAACGCCGCUGGAGUGAUGAAGGUCUUCGGAUCGUAAAACUCUGUUGUUAGGAAGGAAGAAAGGUGUAAGUAACAGUGCACGUCGUGACGGUACCUAAUCAGAAAGCCACGGCUAACUACGUG